rnacentral:rRNA from 1 species
CCUACGGGGGGCAGCAGUGAGGAAUAUUGGUCAAUGGGAGAGAUCCUGAACCAGCCAAGCCGCGUGAGGGAAGACGGCCCUAUGGGUUGUAAACCUCUUUUGUCGGAGAACAAAACCCGGGACGAGUCCCGGACUGCGUGUAUCCGAAGAAAAAGCAUCGGCUAACUCCGUGCCAGCAGCCGCGGUAAUACGGAGGAUGCGAGCGUUAUCCGGAUUUAUUGGGUUUAAAGGGUGCGUAGGCGGUCCGUUAAGUCAGCGGUAAAAUUGCGGGGCUCAACCCCGUCGAGCCGUUGAAACUGGCAGACUUGAGUUGGCGAGAAGUACGCGGAAUGCGCGGUGUAGCGGUGAAAUGCAUAGAUAUCGCGCAGAACUCCGAUUGCGAAGGCAGCGUACCGGCGCCAGACUGACGCUGAGGCACGAAAGCGUGGGGAUCGAACAG